rnacentral:rRNA from 1 species
UACGAAGGGGGCUAGCGUUGCUCGGAAUCACUGGGCGUAAAGCGCACGUAGGCGGAUUGCUAAGUCAGGGGUGAAAUCCUGGAGCUCAACUUCAGAACUGCCUUCGAUACUGGCGAUCUCGAGUCCGGAAGAGGUGAGUGGAACUCCUAGUGUAGAGGUGGAAUUCGUAGAUAUUAGGAAGAACACCAGUGGCGAAGGCGGCUCACUGGUCCGGUACUGACGCUGAUGUGCGAAAGCGUGGGGAGCAAACAGG